rnacentral:rRNA from 1 species
UCGGGAAUUUUGGGCAAUGGGCGAAAGCCUGACCCAGCAACGCCGCGUGAAGGAUGGAGUAUUUCGGUAUGUAAACUUCGUAAGAAUAGGAAGAAUAAAUGACGGUACUAUUUGUAAGGUCCGGCUAACUACGUGCCAGCAGCCGCGGUAAUACGUAGGGACCAAGCGUUGUUCGGAUUUACUGGGCGUAAAGGGCGCGUAGGCGGUGUGUCAAGUCAGUUGUGAAAUCUCCGAGCUUAACUCGGAACGGUCAACUGAUACUGUCACACUAGAGUACAGAAGGGGCAAUCGGAAUUCUUGGUGUAGCGGUGAAAUGCGUAGAUAUCAAGAGGAACACCUGAGGCGAAGGCGGGUUGCUGGGCUGAUACUGACGCUGAGGCGCGAAAGCUAGGGUAGCAAACGGGAUUAGAUACCCUAGUAGUCCCUGAGCGGGCUGGCAAGGCGCAU